rnacentral:rRNA from 1 species
CCUACGGGUGGCAGCAGUCGGGAAUAUUGCGCAAUGGAGGAAACUCUGACGCAGUGACGCCGCGUAUAGGAAGAAGUUUUUCGGAUUGUAAACUACUGUCGUUAGGGAAGAGAAAGGACAGUACCUGAGGAGUAAGCUCCGGCUAACUACGUGCCAGCCGCCGCGGUAAAACGUAGGGAGCCAGCGUUCUCCGGAAUUAUUGGGUGUAAAAGGUGCGUAGACGGAAAAGCAAGUUAGUUGUGAAAGCCCUCGGCUUAACUGAGGAACUGCAACUAAAACUAUUUUUCUUGAGUGCUGGAGGGGUAAGUGGAAUUCCUAGUGUAGCGGUGAAAUGCGUAGAUAUUAGGAGGAACACCAGUGGCGAAGGCGACUUACUGGACUGUAACUGACGUUGAGGCACGAAAGUGUGGGGAGCAAACAGGAUUAGAUACCCUGGUAGUC